rfam:Crassostrea gigas strain 05x7-T-G4-1.051#20 contig10162, whole genome shotgun sequence.
GUCUCAAUAUCUCAUUGGUUAGAGCGCUGGCACAGUACGCCAGAGGCCCUGGGUUCGAGUCCUGGUUGAGACU